GGGGACACCUGGGGACAUCUUGGGGACAUGUGCUGGGACCCUGCCAGCGUGGCCUGGCACCCCCCGGGUGAUCCCUGUGUCCCCACCCUGCUGUCCCCAAUGUCUGGUGGCCCAUCCAUGGGUUCCUCGCCAUCUGUCACUGUGGCCACCUUGGGGACAUCUUGGGGACAAAUUUUGGGAGCCCCCAGCUGGGCCUGGCACCCCCUGGGUGAUCCCUGUGUCCCCACCCUGCUGUCCCCAAGUGUCCCCAUCCAGGCUGGGUGUCCGUGAGUGCCUCUGUUUGUCCCCACCCGUGUCACCAUGGUCACACGUGCAUGUCCGCAGCCAUGUGCAUGUGGCCACCUGUGUCCCUCCCCAGCCAUGUCCAUGUCCCUGUGUCCCCGUAUCUGUCCCCAUGUCCCUGUGGCCACCUGUGUCUGUCCCAGUCCAUGUCCGUGUCUGUCCCAGUCCGUGCCCUUGUGUCCCCACGUCUGUCUCAAUCCAUGUCUGUGUCCCCAUCCACGCCCAUGUCCCCAUGCCUGUCCCCAUAUCUGUCCCACCCCAUGUCCUUGCCCCUGUGUCCCCAUGUCUGUCCCCGUGUCCCCAUGCCUGUCCCCGUGUCCCCAUACCUGUCCCCAUGUCUGUCCAUGUCCAUGUCUCCAUCCGUAUCCACGUCACUGACUGUCCCCAUGUCCCUGUGCCUGUCCCUGUGUCCCCGUGCCUGUCCCCACAUCUGUCCCACUCCAUGUCCCUGUGUCCCCAUACCUGUCCCCAUGCCUUUCCAUGUCCAUGUCUCCAUCCAUAUCCAUGUCACUGACUGUCCCCUUGUCCCCAUGCCUGUCCCUGUGUCCCCAUACCUGUCCCCAUGUCUGUCCAUGUCCAUGUUUUCAUCCAUAUCCACGUCACUGACUGUCCCCGUGUCCCCAUGCCUGUCCCCUUUUCCCUGCUCCCACCUCACUGUCCCUGUCCCACCCCUCUGUCCCCACCAUCGCUGUCACUGUCCCACCCCUCUGUGUCCCUGCCAUCACUGUCCCUGUCCUGCCACCCCUCUGUCCCUGUCACCCCUGUCCCCUCCACCCCUCUGUCCCCACCAUCACUGUCCCUGUCCUGCCACCCCUCUGUCCCUGUCACCCCUGUCCCUGUCCCAACCCUCUGUCCCUGUCACCCCUGUCCCCUCCACCCCUCUGUCCCCACCAUCGCUGUCCCUGUCCUGCCACCCCUCUGUCCCUGCCACUCCUGUCCCUGUCCCACCCCUCUGUCCCCACCAUCCCUGUCCCCUGCACCCCUGUCCCCACCAUCGCUGUCCCUGUCCUGCCACCCCUCUGUCCCUGUCACCCCUGUCCCCUCCACCCCUCUGUCCCUGCCAUCGCUGUCCCUGUCCCCUCCACCCCUCUGUCCCCACCAUCCCUGUCCCCUGCAACCCCUUGUCCCCACCAUCGCUGUCCCCGUCCUGCCACCUCUCUGUCCCCACCAUCCCUGUCCCCUGCACCCCUCAGUCCCUGCCACCCCCCCCCCCUCCACCCCUCUGUCCCCACCNNNNNNNNNNNNNNNNNNNNN
rnacentral:lncRNA from 1 species